rnacentral:rRNA from 1 species
CCUACGGGUGGCUGCAGUGGGGAAUAUUGGUCAAUGGGCGCAAGCCUGACCCAGCAACGCCGCGUGAAGGAAGAAGGCUCUCUGGUUGUUAACUUCUUUUUUUAGGGACGAAGCAAGUUACGGUACCUGAUGAUUAAGCCUCGGCUAACUACGUGCCAGCAGUCGCGGUAAUACGUAGGUGGCAAGCGUUAUCCGGAUUUACUGGGUGUAAAGGUCGUGUAGGCGGGAGUGCAAGUCAGAUGUGAAAACUAUGGGCUCAACCCAUAGCCUGCAUUUGAAACUGGAAUUCUUGAGUGCUGGAGAGGCAAGCGGAAUUCGGUGUGUAGCGGUGAAAUGCGUAGAUAUACGGAGGAACACCAGUGGCGAAGGCAGAUUGCUGGACAGUAACUGACGCUGAGGCGCGAAAGCGUGGGGAGCAAACAGGAUUAGAUACCCGAGUAGUC